CUGCCUGCCUCUGAACCGAGCCUCCUCACAGACCACGGCGGUGGCCCAGGCCCCGUGCAGUCUCUGCCCCCGUCGAGGGGAGGAGCAGGGAACACGGGCAGGAGGUCGAGCCUACUUCCCAGAAGAGGCCGCGCAGCUCUUCCCGAGCGAACAGAAUGCAGAGAAGUCAGCGUUCCCAAGUUCAAGGCCAAGGCAGGGCGGAGGUCCCCGCAGAGGGAACUUCCUCAGGCCAAGGACCAGCAAAAUCUGGAAGAAUCUGCCUGGAAGCUGAUUUCCCUGGUUUCUGUCCCAGAGGUCAGCUCUGUAUCCCCACUCUGAUCCCAGUACAACAAAACAGGAUGGAUGAAUUCCCCUGAUGUUCUAGGUGCAGGCAAGUGUUUUCCACGGUAUGAACCUCUCUCUCCUACGGACUUGAUCUCACAAACUUCCCCCUUUCAGAGACAAGUGGUUUAUGAAGCUAAUUCAUACUAAUAUGUGAACAGCUGCCUGCUGACUUUCACCUGCCCUGUGUAUUUGACUAUGAACUCCUGGAGCACAGAGACUGUUUUAUUCCUCUUCGUGGUUGCAGUGCCAAGUACAAGGCUUGGUAUAGAGUUGGUGUUGUGUGGAUAAUCAUAAAGAAGACAGCAAUAAUAAAUCAUAACAGCCAACAAUCACUAAAUGUUUUCUAAAUGCCACACAAUCAGGAAGUCCCCAAAUCCCAGAGUGAUUCGGGAGAGGACCAGAAGAUGUCAAUGGAUGUGGUUUUCCUUCCUACCUUCUCCUGCUCCCACCUGUCUGGUGAAAAUAUAGGAGCCCCUGGGAUGCCCAGCUUCAGGGCUGGCCUGGAGAAGACUCAGGGAAGCCAAGCCUUUGCUGGAGGCCAGGGAGCCUCACUUUGGGUUCUCUUGAAGCCCCUAUUUUUCAGAGGUCCCCUGAUUGCCCUUCUCUUGGCUCACGGCGCCUCAGCGAGCGGGCUCACUCUGCACAGGUGUUCGUGUCUCCCAUCAGACGGUGCGUUCCACAAGACCAGGAUCUGUAGUUCUGCAGGGGGUCCCCAGGCAGGAACACAGGGCCUGCUGCUAUUUGUUGGGAGCUGGCCCUGGAGCCCAGUGGGCCCUCCCAAUUCCAGCCCUCUCUGCAGCCUCAAAGCUGGGAGGAAGAUCAUAGCCACGAUGGCCUUCGCCUAGACUUCUUGUUGAAAGGGAAGCCCUCAGAGAAGAGACACAGCCGCAGGACACGUGUACCUGCAGAGACGGCCACCAGCCACUCGCCACAGCCUCCACGCUCAUCUCCAUCACCCGGGUCCUGGCUCCCCUCCUCCAGGAAGCCCUCCCUGGUGAGCCCCACCCACAUGCCCUGUUAUGCUGCUCGCUUGGGUUCCAGGAAGCUCGGGGCGAUCACAGCUCUGGGGAGAAGACCAGAGAGCAAGACUCAGGCAUCUCUAGAGUUCAGAACUGGACUUUCAGUUCCAGAUCCUGGUUUCUGUCCUCUUCUUCCCUCUUCUUUUUACGAAGAGACUCUCUCAGUCAUCCUUGCUUUUCUUUUUCUCCCUUCUUGUCUCUUCUUGCCUUAUUCCCUCCUUCCUUCCAUCCCCCCCUCAUUUUCUCCCUUCACUCCAGCACUGUUUCACGGAAGACUUGAGGCCACUUUUGCCUUCAGCCCACCUCCAGACCGCUGGGCGUUCAGACCAGCCCGAGGUCUGCUCACUGGGUUGCAUGGCACAGUGCCAGCCUUGGGUGCUGUGGGCCUUCCUCUGGGCUGAGUGUCGGGGCAGGGUGGCCUCGCCGUGACACCCAGCAGCCCCACCCUCAUCACCCACCCUGCUGGGCCAGCGCUGGAAGCAAGACACCGCCCCCCCCCCCCCCCCACACAACUUCCUCGCUGCAAGCACAGGAAGGAGUCCGGGGGCCAAGGACAGAGCCCUGGAGUAGGCGUCUCAAGACUGCAAUCCCUGAGUGCGUGGCCCCAGCGGUAUCCCCAGGCACAGCUUGCAUCCAGCGAAUGCUUGUUGAGUGACUGAAUGAAGGCCACAGACUGAAGUCCUGGCUGGCUGCCUCAUUUCAGAGACACCCCUUCACCACUCUGAGCCUCAGGACCCUCUGUUAAAAUGAGGAGGAAUUGCCCGACCCUGUCCACCCCCUUGAGGCAGCUGAGAGGAGCAGGUGUGAUGCGGCCUCCAGCAGUAAAGCCCAGGCCGGCAGGCUGUGUGGGUGAAGGUGGCUUGUGCGGGGCCCCUUCUUUGGGGCUGGAAGGGGCUCGAACGCUCUGGGCUGAGUGAUCCUGAGGAAGCUACCGAGCAUGAGAGAACUUCAAGGUUCUGCGAGGGGGCCCCGCCUUCCUCCCCGGCAGAAUCCUAGCAGGGUCUGCCCACCGUGCCCCAGCCAUUCUUCGGCACCAAGCCUCCCUCUGCCCCGGCCCGCCCAGCGCAGGCGGCCCAGCGCCACCAGGCGGGUCCUUAUGAACUGGGCUUUCAAGGGGAGCUGGUCUAAGGAGAGACUGAGCCAGCAGCUUCCGGGGUGGGCAGGGGCUGCCUCGGGCCUCCGCCCGGGACUCAGAGCCGCUCAGCUCUGCCGUUGGCCAGCUGUGUGGCCUUGGACCAGUCGCUUCACCUCUCUGAGCCGCACCUGGCUCAUUUCCCGCGUGGCAAGUACCCUUGCCUUGGCAGCCGAGUCAUGAGAGUCCGCAGAAGAGGAAGGGGAACCUGGCAGGCAGAGGCGCUGGGUGAUGGUGGGCGUCUGCUUGGCUCGGCGGGAGCCCAUCCACGCGCCGCUCCCCCUACCCCCACCCCCCGCCGCUCUUCCGGCCCGGUUCAGCCAGAUGGUGGGAGCGGGGAAAUGCCGCGGAGCUGCAGCUCCUGGUCUAUUUUGAGAAGCCUCCUGUUUCCUCUGCUGCCUGGGGCCAUGUGGUGGCUGCAGGUCUCUGCUCCCGGGAGGGGCUCCGAGCCGGACCUUGUCCUUCCUCCGUGCCUCACGCCCAGCCCUCUCCUCCCACGUGGCCUGAGCCCCACUGUCCUGACUCCCAGCUCAGGCAGCACAGCUUCAGCCAGGAGGGGCAGAGGUCAGGUGCCCAAAGAGGGCUUUGCGGUGGGGGCUGGUCACUUGUUGGCAAUAUGGAGAAAGUGGGGAGCUGGGGUUGGCCCCCCCAUUGUCCGGGCUCAGCGCCUGCCUGCCCAGGCCCCCGCUUCUGCAAGCCUGCACCCCCACCCCCACCAUGGCCGUCAGCAUCCUCGGGUCCCCAGCAGCAGUCAUCACUGCUGGGGUUGAGCGCUGGGUGGAGUCAUCUGUAUUCCCAUAUGCGGCUUCCUCCAGAGUGACCUCAGAGGCCCACAGAGAAACACAGCCCCCCAGAACGCUGACCCGGCCAGGAGGCCGGACAGUCCCCUGGCUUGCUGCCUGGCUGGUCUUAAUUGCCCCAGUCACCCCGUCAGAAACCUGGGAGCCGCCCUUCCCUCCUCUCCUGCCCCUCCUCCUCCCGGCACAGAGCUCUGACCCUGGUGUGCCACAUCCCUCAUUUACUAGAUCCGUGACCUUUCAUCUCUCCAUGACUCGAUUUAUUCUUCUGUGAAAUGGAGCUAAGGAGAUCCCCCUAUUCAUGGGCCUGCAGGGAAGAGAUAUUGAGUUAAUACUGGUGAAGUGCUUAGGACAGGGCUGGACACUUAGUAAUUGUAGCUCCUAUUCCGUUCAGUUCAGUUCAGUCGCUCAGUCGUGUCCGACCGACUCUUUGUGACCCCAUGGACUGCAGCUCGCCAGGCUUCCCUGUCCAUCACCAACUCCCGGAGCUUGCUCAAACUCAUGUCCGUUGAGUCGGUGAUGCCAUCCAACAAUCUCAUCUUAUUAUCCUCAAUAAAUUGCAGCUCCUAUUACCUGAUUGGUCCACAAAGUCUGCCCACUCCAUCUCUUCUACAUCACUUCCGUCUCCUCUACUGCGGUGCUGGUCCAACCUCUCCUUGAGGCGCUGCCAAGGCUUCUUGCUGGCUUUGCUGCCCCUGUUCUCCAUCCCGCUAGAGCCAAGGGCAUCUUUCUGAAUAAAAAGUCUGAUUAGCACUGUAGAGUUUUGGAAUUAGAUUUAUUCAUUCACCACCGCCCCCAAAAUAUCUGAGGGCCAACCCUGUGCUACAGUAGUAACCUAAACGAAGUAGGAAGCGUAUGUUCUAGUGAGUGCAAGUCCCAACCCUACAACUGGGUGGCACUGGGCAAGUUUUUAAAUGCUUGGAACCUGAAUUCUGUCAUCUGCACAAUGAGACCGUAGAGAACCUGCCCCAUGGGCUUGCUGUGCGUGUCAGCAGAGUACUCAGCUCUUCUAUCAAAGUAUGUGAAAUAGUUUCCAAGUGGAAGCCCUGGGAUGAGGAUGGUAAGGAUGGUGUCAUUCCAUUCCUCAUAACCUUCCAACAUUCAUGCUGGACUCAGGCUGUCUGUGAUCUGGUCCCAGUGAUGCCUUCCCCAUCACCCACCAGCCCUGUCUUUAACAUGGUCCUGAGGAUACUUCAUCUCCAUCACUACUUCCCAAACGACUCAGCCCUUUCACAUGCCUUGCUUUUGCAUGAGCCUUUCUCCUUUCUUGGAAUUUCUCCCUCCCUCCCCUUCUUUUCUUAACCUCUCCCUCCCCUUUUCAGGGCCAUCCCAGUUACCUGCCCCUGCUAGGCAGAGUCUUCCCAGCCUCUCAGGACAAACCCCCCUGGAUCUGGGCUCUUCUUGCCGGGUGUUCCUGCCCCCACGGUGCCCCUGCCCGUGGUGAUCGUCACCGCGUGGCCUCAGGUCUAUUCCCUCAGCCCCUGGGCAGGAAUGCAUCACGCUGACCUUGUGCCCUCAGAGCCUGGCACUGGCUUGGCGUGUUGGCAAUCAUUAACUUUUGGCAUAUGACUCGUCACUGACUUUUGAUGAGUGCAUUCAUCGCUGCCAAGACACCUCUGAUGAUCAACCUCAAUUUACCCAAGUGGAAGGUGGGAUCAGUGUUAGAGAUUCUCACCCUACUGUAAGGGAAAGACCUUGACAAAUGCCAUCCCCUUGACAAAUGCCAGCUGCAACAGAGAAGACCUGAGAGUCUCUAUGUGCAGGUGUAACGAGAUAUGUUAGCCAGUGUAGACCACACAGUCUCUGAUGGUGCACACAUCCUGGAAGUAUGCUCCUUUCACAUAUAAGGUUGAGAGGCAUGCUCCGGUCUGCACGUGGCUUCCUCCACACAGUGAUCAGGGGACCCAAGCUCCCUCCAUCUUGAGGGCGUACCAUUAUUUAGGUCCUUGUUGUCAUCUGCACCCAAUAGGCAGAAAGAGAAAGUGAGAAUGUGAGGAGGUCCGGCUACUCUCAAAUGAAUUGACACAGGCUGCCUCUACUCCUGUCCUGUCACCUAAAACCCCAUCACAUGGCCACUCCUGAGUGAGGCCACAGUGUGUGUGCCGCAGAAGGAGAGGAGGAUGUGGAUUUGGGUGAACGCUGACCAUCUCUGCCAAGGCAACCACUAGUCUGAUGCUAGCUCCUGUGUGUGUGCGUGGAGACCAACGGGCAGACCCCCCACCAUGAAGGGAGAUGGGCUUGCCCGGCCAUCCCCACGUGCUGGCAUAGACACAGUCCAGACCACGCUGGACUGGAAUGACUGGAGCCGAUCUUGGAUCCCAGCCCUGCCUGGUCUGUUGGACUGCCCAUCGGUCAGGGCGGGGGUGGCGAGAGCUCAUGGAGGGUGGGAGGGUGGCUCUAGGCCCAGCACCCUUCCUGGGGGCCUGGGGGCACUCAGCGUUCUAGGGUCAAAUUUUACAGCUGCAGGAGCCCAGACCCCGGGAGGCUGCCCCCUCCUUUCUUGGUGGAAUGGGCCGGGCUGGGUCCUGGGUAAUGUCCCGGGCUCUCAGGGGGUCACAGCUGCUUAGAGGACAAAUCUCUGUGCCCUCCCCGUACCAGCCGGGGAGCCGAGACCAGGCCUGCCUUCACGGCCAAGUGUGCGCAGCUGCGGUUUGAAAGGCCUUUUGGAAGCUCAGCCUCCCUUUCCCCCAACACUUCCAGCCACCGGAAGCAGAACCAGUCCCCUGGCCAACCCUGCCGGGGUGAGCAGCAUGGCUGGGCCAGGACACCUGGCAUUCCAGCUGGCUCGGCGACUCCCUGCCCCGCCUCCUGCUCAUUCCAACGCCUGCCCCCUCUCAGUGGUCCCACGCCAAGGUCAAGGAUUUCUGGAAACCUGAGAAGAGAGGAUUCCUAUCGACCCUAGAUGGUCCAGUGGUCCUCAGCAGGGAUGUUCAGAACUCAGUGGGUGCGUUUUGUGUGACUCCAGUGACAGGCGGCCCACUGGCCAAGGACGCUGCAGAUUCUGGGCUGGGCAGAAACUCUCCUGCCUCCCGUGGGGCCUCUCCACGUUCCUGCAGGGCAGUGCUUCCACACCUGAACGCGCAGGGCCUGAAAACACAGGUCCCUGAGCUCCGCCCCAGCUUCCUGAUUCACUGGGUCUGCAGUGAGUGUGUGUUUCUAACAACUCCCAGGUGAUGCUGACUCUGAUGGUCCGGGGACCACACUUCGAAAACCGCUGUUGUGGGGGAAAAUCUGUUUUCAAGUAUCUGAACCUGGAAUAUCAUUCUGUUUGACAUCCAAAUACAAAGUAUUUUUUGCCUUUUUAUAUUUGGUUCCUUUUUCCAGAUUGCAAUUACAUUAAUCUCUUUUGUACUGUUUACCAGGCAUUUUUCACCAGCUCAGAAAAUAGAGACCUCCCUGGCAAAGCCACAGGAGGUGUCUGAGUGGCUGAUUUAAUGCUCCGUGGUGGUCUGCAUUUGUAGCUG